rnacentral:rRNA from 1 species
AUUGAACGCUGGCGGCAGGCCUAACACAUGCAAGUCGAGCGGAUGAAGGGAGCUUGCUCCUGGAUUCAGCGGCGGACGGGCGAGUAAUGCCUAGGAAUCUGCCUUGUAUUGGGGGAUAACGUCCGGACACGGGCGCUAAUACCGCAUACGUCCUGAGGGAGAAAGUGGGGGAUCUUCGGACCUCACGCUAUCAGAUGAGCCUAGGUCGGAUUAGCUAGUUGGUGGGGUAAAGGCCUACCAAGGCGACGAUCCGUAACUGGUCUGAGAGGAUGAUCAGUCACACUGGAACUGAGACACGGUCCAGACUCCUACGGGAGGCAGCAGUGGGGAAUAUUGGACAAUGGGCGAAAGCCUGAUCCAGCCAUGCCGCGUGUGUGAAGAAGGUCUUCGGAUUGUAAAGCACUUUAAGUUGGGAGGAAGGGCAGUAAGUUAAUACCUUGCUGUUUUGACGUUACCAACAGAAUAAGCACCGGCUAACUUCGUG